rnacentral:rRNA from 1 species
GAUGAACGCUGGCGGCGUGCCUAACACAUGCAAGUCGAACGGAGUUAUGCAGAGGAAGUUUUCGGAUGGAAUCGGCGUAACUUAGUGGCGGACGGGUGAGUAACGCGUGGGAAACCUGCCCUGUACCGGGGGAUAACACUUAGAAAUAGGUGCUAAUACCGCAUAAGCGCACAGCUUCACAUGAAGCAGUGUGAAAAACUCCGGUGGUACAGGAUGGUCCCGCGUCUGAUUAGCCAGUUGGCAGGGUAACGGCCUACCAAAGCGACGAUCAGUAGCCGGCCUGAGAGGGUGAACGGGCCACAUUGGGACUGAGACACGGCCCAGACUCCUACGGGAGGCAGCAGUGGGGGAUAUUGCACAAUGGGGGAAACCCUGAUGCAGCGACGCCGCGUGGAGGAAGAAGGUUUUCGGAUUGUAAACUCC